CGGUAGCACAGAGAGCUUGCUCUCGGGUGACGAGCGGCGGACGGGUGAGUAAUGUCUGGGAAACUGCCUGAUGGAGGGGGAUAACUACUGGAAACGGUAGCUAAUACCGCAUAAUGUCGCAAGACCAAAGUGGGGGACCUUCGGGCCUCAUGCCAUCAGAUGUGCCCAGAUGGGAUUAGCUAGUAGGUGGGGUAACGGCUCACCUAGGCGACGAUCCCUAGCUGGUCUGAGAGGAUGACCAGCCACACUGGAACUGAGACACGGUCCAGACUCCUACGGGAGGCAGCAGUGGGGAAUAUUGCACAAUGGGCGCAAGCCUGAUGCAGCCAUGCCGCGUGUGUGAAGAAGGCCUUCGGGUUGUAAAGCACCUUCAGCGGGGAGGAAGGCGAUAAGGUUAAUAACCUUGUCGAUUGACGUUACCCGCAGAAGAAGCACCGGCUAACUCCGUGCCAGCAGCCGCGGUAAUACGGAGGGUGCAAGCGUUAAUCGGAAUUACUGGGCGUAAAGCGCACGCAGGCGGUCUGUCAAGUCGGAUGUGAAAUCCCCGGGCUCAACCUGGGAACUGCAUUCGAAACUGGCAGGCUAGAGUCUUGUAGAGGGGGGUAGAAUUCCAGGUGUAGCGGUGAAAUGCGUAGAGAUCUGGAGGAAUACCGGUGGCGAAGGCGGCCCCCUGGACAAAGACUGACGCUCAGGUGCGAAAGCGUGGGGAGCAAACAGGAUUAGAUACCCUGGUAGUCCACGCCGUAAACGAUGUCGAUUUGGAGGUUGUGCCCUUGAGGCGUGGCUUCCGGAGCUAACGCGUUAAAUCGACCGCCUGGGGAGUACGGCCGCAAGGUUAAAACUCAAAUGAAUUGACGGGGGCCCGCACAAGCGGUGGAGCAUGUGGUUUAAUUCGAUGCAACGCGAAGAACCUUACCUGGUCUUGACAUCCACAGAACUUUCCAGAGAUGGAUUGGUGCCUUCGGGAACUGUGAGACAGGUGCUGCAUGGCUGUCGUCAGCUCGUGUUGUGAAAUGUUGGGUUAAGUCCCGCAACGAGCGCAACCCUUAUCCUUUGUUGCCAGCGGUUAGGCCGGGAACUCAAAGGAGACUGCCAGUGAUAAACUGGAGGAAGGUGGGGAUGACGUCAAGUCAUCAUGGCCCUUACGACCAGGGCUACACACGUGCUACAAUGGCAUAUACAAAGAGAAGCGACCUCGCGAGAGCAAGCGGACCUCAUAAAGUAUGUCGUAGUCCGGAUUGGAGUCUGCAACUCGACUCCAUGAAGUCGGAAUCGCUAGUAAUCGUAGAUCAGAAUGCUACGGUGAAUACGUUCCCGGGCCUUGUACACACCGCCCGUCACACCAUGGGAGUGGGUUGCAAAAGAAGUAGGUAGCUUAACCUUCGGGAGGGCGCUUACCAC
rnacentral:rRNA from 1 species